rnacentral:rRNA from 1 species
GUGGAUUAGAUACCCCAGUAGUCCACGCCGUAAACGAUGAGCACUAAGUGUCGGACGUAAGUUCGGUGCUGUAGUUAACGCAUUAAGUGCUCCGCCUGGGGAGUACGGUCGCAAGACUGAAACUCAAAGGAAUUGACGGGGACUCGCACAAGCGGUGGAGCAUGUGGUUUAAUUCGACGCAACGCGAAAAACCUUACCAGGCCUUGACAUCCCUAUGACCGCUCUAGAGAUAGAGUUUCCUCUUCGGAGGUAUAGGUGACAGGUGGUGCACGGUUGUCGUCAGCU